AGAGUUUGAUCAUGGCUCAGAACGUACGCUGGCGGCACGCCUAACACAUGCAAGUCGAACGAAGUAGCAAUACUUAGUGGCAGACGGGUGAGUAACAUGUGGGUAUCUGCCCUUUGGCCUGGAAUAACACGAGGAAACUUGUGCUAAUACCGGAUAAGUCUUUAAGGAGAAAGCUUUAUGCACCAUUGGAUGAGCCUGCACUUGAUUAGUUUGUUGGUGGGGUAAUGGCCUACCAAGACUGUGAUCAAUAGCUGAUUUGAGAGGAUGAUCAGCCACAUUGGGACUGAGACACGGCCCAAACUCCUACGGGAGGCAGCAGUGGGGAAUCUUGCACAAUGGAGGAAACUCUGAUGCAGCGAUGCCGCGUGAGUGAAGAAGGCCCUUGGGUUGUAAAGCUCUUUCGUCGGGGAAGAAAAUGACUGUACCCGAAUAAGAAGGUCCGGCUAACUUCGUGCCAGCAGCCGCGGUAAUACGAAGGGACCUAGCGUAGUUCGGAAUUACUGGGCUUAAAGAGUUCGUAGGUGGUUGAAAAAGUUAGUGGUGAAAUCCCAGAGCUUAACUCUGGAACUGCCAUUAAAACUUUUCAGCUAGAGUAUGAUAGAGGAAAGCAGAAUUUCUAGUGUAGAGGUGAAAUUCGUAGAUAUUAGAAAGAAUACCAAUUGCGAAGGCAGCUUUCUGGAUCAUUACUGACACUGAGGAACGAAAGCAUGGGUAGCGAAGAGGAUUAGAUACCCUCGUAGUCCAUGCCGUAAACGAUGUGUGUUAGACGUUGGAAAUUUAUUUUCAGUGUCGCAGGGAAACCGAUAAACACACCGCCUGGGGAGUACGACCGCAAGGUUAAAACUCAAAUGAAUUGACGGGGACCCGCACAAGUAGUGGAGCAUGUGGUUUAAUUCGAAGAUACGCGCAGAACCUUACCAACACUUGACAUGUUCGUCGCGACUCUAAGAGAUUAGAGUUUUCGGUUCGGCCGGACGAAACACAGGUGCUGCAUGGCUGUCGUCAGCUCGUGUCGUGAGAUGUUGGGUUAAGUCCCGCAACGAGCGCAACCCUCACUUUUAGUUGCCAUCAUUAAGUUGGGCACUCUGAAAGAACUGCCAGUGAUAAGCUGGAGGAAGGUGGGGAUGACGUCAAGUCCUCAUGGCCCUUACGUGUUGGGCUACACACGUGCUACAAUGGUAUCUACAACAGGAAGCAAGACUGCGAAGUUGAGCAAAUCCCUAAAAGAUACCUCAGUUCGGAUUGCACUCUGCAACUCGAGUGCAUGAAGCUGGAAUUACUAGUAAUCGUGGAUCAGCGUGCCACGGUGAAUGCGUUCCCGGGUCUUGUACACACCGCCCGUCACACCAUGGGAGUUGGUUCUACCUUAAGGCAAGGUUUCAAACCCUUGACCACGGUAUAGUCAGCGACUGGGGUGAAGUCGUAACAAGGUAACCGUA
rnacentral:rRNA from 1 species